rnacentral:rRNA from 1 species
GUGCCAGCCGCCGCGGUAAUACCGGCAGCCCGAGUGAUGGCCGAUAUUAUUGGGCCUAAAGCGUCCGUAGCUGGCUGCGCAAGUCCGUCGGGAAAUCCACUCGCUCAACGAGUGGGCGUCCGACGGAAACUGAACAGCUUGGGACCGGAAGGCUCGAAGGGUACGUUCAGGGUAGGAGUGAAAUCCCAUAAUCCCGCACGGACCACCGAUGGCGAAAGCACUUCGAGAAGACGGGUCCGACAGUGAGGGACGAAAGCCAGGGUCUCCAACCGGAUUAGAAACCCUUGUAGUCC